rnacentral:snRNA from 1 species
GUGCUCACCUCGGCAGCAUCUAUACGAAAAUUGGAACGGUAAAGGGGUUAGCGUAGCCCAUGCAAGGAUGACACACACAUUUGUGAAGUAUUCUGUGUUAGA